rnacentral:misc_RNA from 1 species
AGUUCAAGCACAUCAUAGCCCCUAUAAAUCGUCGUAAAAAGAUCAAUAAAUAAAAAUUAGCUACCUGAUCGACCGGAUCUGAGGAUCGAUUCACAGGAGAUGGAGGAGAGGAGAUGGCCGCUGCGAAAGAGGAGGAGGCGGCCGCUACGGCGGAGGAGGCGGAGAAUGCUGCGUCGCUGGCGGCGGUCGCUGCGGCGUCGGUGGCGG